UAUAGCGAUUUGGGAUAAGUCCCUUGGAAGAGGACAGCAUCGAGGGUGAUACUCCCGUUUGUGCCUGAGUAGCUUGUGCGUACGACACGUUUUCUUUGAGUCGCGUUGUUUGGGACUGCAGCGCAAAGUAGGUGGUAAAUUCCAUCUAAAGCUAAAUAUUGGUGCGAGACCGAUAGCGAACAAGUACCGUGAGGGAAAGAUGAAAAGAACUUUGGAAAGAGAGUUAAAGAGUACCUGAAACUGCUGAAAGGGAAGCGAAUCGUAUCCAGUGUCUAUAAUCUGUAGCAUAUUUCAUUGGCGAGUAGGUGCGUGCAGUAUGUAAGAAGUGGUUUUCUGCUCUUUGUGCUGUUCUGCGUUUGCUAGUUGGUGCCCUGUGUUGCGGUGGGACGUCAGAGUCAGUUCGUAUGCUGUGAGAAAUGGCUACUGAGGAGGUAGGUUAGGAGCUUGCUCUUGGCUGUUAUAUCUUGGUAGUUAGUUGUCCGUGGUUGACGAACUGAGGUGCC
rnacentral:rRNA from 2 species